CAAUAGCGUAUAUUAAAGUUGUUGCGGUAAAAAAGCUCGUAGUUGGAUUUCUGUUGAGAGCGACCGGUCCAUACCAUGUAUGCGUAUCUGGCUUGCUCUCGGCAUCCUCUCGAUAGACGUUGCUGCGCUUGAUUGCGUGGCGCGGAUCUCGGGACUUUUACUUUGAGGAAAUUAGAGUGUUCACGGCAGGCUUUCGCCAGAAUACAUUAGCAUGGAAUAAUACUAUAGGAUCUUGGUUCUAUUUUGUUGGUUUCUAGAAUUGAGAUAAUGAUUAAUAGGGACAAUUGGGGGCAUUCGUAUCAACACGUCAGAGGUGGAAUUCUUGGAUUGUGUUGCGACGAACUACUGCGAAAGCAUUUGCCAAGGAUGUUUUCACUGA
rnacentral:rRNA from 1 species